CACGGAAGAAGAUAUUCCAUCUUUUUUGAAAAGUUCAUAACGUUGUUGCCUUUGCAGCAUUACCGCUCUCUCUCUUUUCUUGUCGUCGCAAUGCAUCACGAUGACAAUCUCUCAAUUUUCUCCAAAUUUCUUUUACUUCAUGACCUAAAAAUAAUAAUAUUACUUUAUUUAUAUUUUUUAGGUAUUUGGCUACAGGAAAUACAUUUAGAACUAUUGCCUUUUCUUAUAGGCUAGGAGAAAGGACUGUAUCAAAAAUAGUUAAUGAAGUUUGUAAAGUACUAUGGACAUGCUUGCAGCCGCAAUAUAUGCCCCAUCCCACAACGAAUACUUGGGUGACAAUUGCAGUUUUAUAACUGCAUAGGUACUAUAGACGGUAAACAUGUAACAAUAAAAAAACCAGGUCAAAGCGGAUCUUCAUUUUUUAAUUACAAGCCGUACUGCUCAAUCGUCCUAAUGGCCACUGUAGAUGCAUAUUAUCGAUUCACUACUACUGAGGGGUUGAAGCUUUUCCUUUGAAAACUGAAUUUGAUGCGACCAUUUCCAAAAGCUCAGGUUACCAACAAUUAAAGAAAUAAAGUGUUUAAUUACAAAUUAUCUCGAGCUCGACAAACUGUGGAAUGCGCCUUUGGAAUACUGGCAGCCAGAUUUCGGGUAUAUCGAACAAAUUGGAAACCGUGGAUGAUUGUCAAAGCAACAUGCGUUCUUCACAUUUUUCUCUGCGGGUAUACAAACUAUAUUUGUGAAGAAGAAAUAAUACGCAGCUCUCUGAUUCGCAGUUACUUCCCAUUUGGCCAAAUAGAAUACGAAGUGAAUGCCAAUGGUAAGAAGCUUGGCCUUCUGGAGAAAAUGGAAAUUAUAAAAGCUAAAAAGAGUCCUGUUCUCGUGUGUAUGAAUGACGUGUUUACUUU